UAAGUGAUCACAGAAAUGGACUACUGAAU
rnacentral:piRNA from 1 species